GUUCAAUAAGAGUUGAAUUAUAAAAGCCUAAAAAUUAUUAAAAGAAGUAGAAAGCGUGAAAACCUAACCCAACCCGCAUAAUGUCAAAACUGAACAUAUGUGCUUUUAUAAUGAAUUUGUUGGUUUCAAAUUAAAUAUUGUCAAAACUGACGUCAGUUUUGGUUUGGCAAAAUACAGUGAACCUUCCCAAACUGAUUCAUGUGCAGCCUAAAAUAUAUAUAUGUUUCUAAAAUAUUAUAAUAGUUGGGUUUAAAUAAAAUAACAACAACUAUAAUACAAGUUUUAAUUUAACCUGUAAUUUAAACUAAAACAUUACUUAAUCCAAAAACAUCAUAAUAUUAUAAAAAGAUG
rnacentral:misc_RNA from 1 species